ensembl:snRNA U1 U1 spliceosomal RNA
AUUCUUACCUGAAAGGGGAGAUACCAUGAUUUUGAAGAUGGUUCUCCCAGGGCAAGGCUUGUCUAUUGCACUCUGUGUGUGCUGACCCCUGAAAUUUCCCCUAUAGCACAAAUUCAACUGCAUAAUUUGUGGUAGUGGGUUACUGUGUUUGCACUUUCUCCUG